GACGAACGCUGGCGGCGUGCUUAACACAUGCAAGUCGAACGGAAAGGCCCUGCUUUUGUGGGGUGCUCGAGUGGCGAACGGGUGAGUAACACGUGAGUAACCUGCCCUUGACUUUGGGAUAACUUCAGGAAACUGGGGCUAAUACCGGAUAGGAGCUCCUGCUGCAUGGUGGGGGUUGGAAAGUUUCGGCGGUUGGGGAUGGACCCGCGGCUUAUCAGCUUGUUGGUGGGGUAGUGGCUUACCAAGGCUUUGACGGGUAGCCGGCCUGAGAGGGUGACCGGCCACAUUGGGACUGAGAUACGGCCCAGACUCCUACGGGAGGCAGCAGUGGGGAAUAUUGCACAAUGGGCGGAAGCCUGAUGCAGCAACGCCGCGUGCGGGAUGACGGCCUUCGAGUUGUAAACCGCUUUCGCCUGUGACGAAGCGUGAGUGACGGUAAUGGGUAAAGAAGCACCGGCUAACUACGUG
rnacentral:rRNA from 1 species